UUUUCUCCUCUUCUCUCCAUUUUCCUUCCUCUGUUUAGCUCUUCUUUCCCUCUUCUCUUCUCUUCUCUCUUCAUUUUCUCCUCUUCUCUCCAUUUUCCUUCCUCUGUUUAUCUCUUCUUUCCCUCUUCUCUUCUCUUCUCUCUUCAUUUUCUCCUCUUCUCUCCAUUUUCCUUCCUCUGUUUAGCUCUUCUUUCCCUCUUCUCUUCUCUUCUCUCUUCAUUUUCCUUUCUCUGUAUAGCUUAUUUUCCCUCUUCUCUUCUCUCCUCUCUCCAUUUGCUCCUCUUCUCUUCAUUUUCCUUCCUGUUUAGCUCUUUUUUCCCUCUUCUCUCUUCAUCUUCUCUCCUCUCCUUUAAUCUUCACAGUCAUCUCCCCCCAUCACUCAAUGAGACAGCCCAUCCCCUUCAUCUCCUCUCCCAUCACUUUCCCUUUCUCCUCCCCUUCCUUUCACUUUCCUCCACUCUACAAAAAUACUUCUCCAUUACUUCUUCUAUUUUUUUCUUUUUUCCUCCAUUUCUCUUCCCUUCUCUCUCUUCUCCAAUACUUCUCUUCCCUUUUCUCUUCUUUCUUUUCCUCUCCUCUCCUCCAUAUCCCUUCCCUUUCCUUUCUUCUCCUCUUCCCAUCGCUUCAAAAAAAUGCAUCUUCCCUUUCUCUCCCUUCCUCCUUUUCCUCCCCUUCUAUUACCUCUCCUUUCCUCCCUCUAAAUCAUCUUCACUCUUGUAUAUCUUGAUGAGAGUGAGAUAAAAGAUAAUGAUUGAGAGUGCUUACUUGUUCAGUUCAGAUAUCUUAAUGAGUGAGAUAGUGAGAGAGUAAGUGUGAGAUGAAGACUGAUGUAAAAUCUCUCUCUUGACUCACUUGCUCACUCACUCGAAAUCUUAAUGAGAUAAAAAGUUGAAUAAAAAAUGUUUGUCAUUAUUUUCUCUCUUUAACCGGUCUGCUGCGAUUGGCACGGAUUUUGCCUUCACUGGUAGCCUGGUAACAUACACUCCCAGGUCUUUCUCUGCCUCUGUGGUGGAUAGUGCAGUGUUUCCCAUGUGGUAUUGGUGUGCUGGAUAUCCCUUCACUGGUAGCCUGGUAACAUACACUCCCAGGUCUUUCUCUGCCUCUGUGGUGGAUAGUGGAGUGUUUCCCAUGUGGUAUUGGUGUGCUGGAUAUCCCUUCACUGGUAGCCUGGUAACAUACACUCCCAGGUCUUUUUCUGCCUCUGUGGUGGAUAGUGGAGUGUUUCCCAUGUGGUAUUGGUGUGCUGGAUAUCCCUUCACUGGUAGCCUGGUAACAUACACUCCCAGGUCUUUCUCUGCCUCUGUGGUGGAUAGUGCAGUGUUUCCCAUGUGGUAUUGGUGUGCUGGAUAUCCCUUCACUGGUAGCCUGGUAACAUACACUCCCAGGUCUUUCUCUGCCUCUGUGGUGGAUAGUGGAGUGUUUCCCAUGUGGUAUUGGUGUGCUGGAUAUCCCUUCACUGGUAGCCUGGUAACAUACACUCCCAGGUCUUUCUCUGCCUCUGUGGUGGAUAGUGCAGUGUUUCCCAUGUGGUAUUGGUGUGCUGGAUAUCCCUUCACUGGUAGCCUGGUAACAUACACUCCCAUGUCUUUCUCUGCCUCUGUGGUGGAUAGUGGAGUGUUUCCCAUGUGGUAUUGGUGUGCUGGAUAUCCCCUCCCAAGGUGGAGGACUUCACAUUUUUCUUCAUUGAAUUGUAGCAGCCACUUUUUGUUCCAUCCCUGUAGCUUGGUGAUGUCUUCUUGUAGGAAAUCCACAGUCAAGGGGUUAAAUUCAUGUCUUCUGAUACUUUACUCACAAUCUCUCCCCUCAUUCUAUCAUUACAUCUGGAGUUACCUAUAUGAAAACAAGUGUAAUAAUUAAUCUUCUCAGCAUUCUUUUUAAAUUCAUGUCUUUAUCUUACUGAAUAUCAAGGGUCGUAUUGUAAGGCAUUCCAUAGCCCAAGAACACAUAUUUGACAAGGUUUUCAUAGGAGUUGAGGGCAUUUCCAGGAGUAGUUUUAUGACCCCGGUAGUAGUGUGACCCUUCCUCUGUACCGUGAACCUGAAGAAACACUCAUUAGAACCCGACUGACCCCCUCUUUGACCUUUAGAAAUAGCUGAUUUGAGAAGCGAAAAUGUCUGAUAAUACCAAUCCAAAUCUCUUCAUGUCUUUUAUUCACUAACUCUCUUCUCUUUCCAACUCUCGUCAACACAUGAGAACCUGACUGACCCCCUCUUUGACCUUUAGAAAUAGCUGAUUUGAGAAGCGAAAAUGUCUGAUAAUACCAAUCCAAAUCUCUUCAUGUCUUUUAUUCACUUACUCAAUCUCUCUCUUCCCAACUCUCAUCAACACAUCUAUAUAUACCUUCAUAACAACACGAAGAAUACUAUACCCCUUUCAGUUUUCACAUAUCAGAACACUACACCUGUUAAGCUCUAUUUUAAAUCAGUCUUUCCUUAAAAACUGUGUGGCGUAAAUUCAAGGUUCGCCAAAAUGCAUUAAUCUUGGGAAACGCCGGGGAAAAAUAUGCAUCUUAGUGCAAGUAAAUUUAUGUAGGGAAAUAUCUCGGGGAAUAUCCUUAAGGUCGUAGUGCGAGUCAACUUAAAAUAACAAACUUUUUAAAUCCUAAGGUCUUUUUUCUCGAGUCUUUGGUGUGUCUAAGUUUCUACAGCAUUUAUGUCUUUUGUAUAUAUAUAAUUUUUGUUUAUUUUCCCUAUAGAUAAAACCCUGAAAAUUUUGGUCUGUAUUCCACACUCACACACUCUCACACACACACACACACACACACA